CGCGGGAUGGAGCAGUUUGGUAGCUCGUCGGGCUCAUAACCCGAAGGUCGGGGGUUCAAAUCCCUCUCCCGCAACCA
rnacentral:tRNA from 1 species